rnacentral:rRNA from 1 species
GGUCAAGAAAAGAAGGGCCGAUGGUGGAUACCUAGGCACACAGAGGCGAAGAAGGACGUAGCAACCUGCGAAAAGCCUCGGGGAGUCGGAAGCAGACGUUGAGCCGAGGAUGUCCGAAUGGGGCAACCCUAGAAACACACCUAGUAAGGUGAUGAGCGAACUUGGUGAACUGAAACAUCUUAGUAGCCAAAGGAAGAGAAAACAAAAGUGAUUCCCCUAGUAGCGGCGAGCGAAGCGGGAACAGCCUAAACCAUUGUCUAAGGAGAAUGGGGUAGUGGGACACCAAAAAGUGACCAUUGGAGGUUAAAUGAACUAGCUGAAAACUAGACCGAAGAAGGUGAAAGUCCUGUAAUUGAAAACCGAAGAGGCACAGGUGAAUCCCGAGUAGUCAGGGAUAAGUGGAAUCCCUGGUGAAUCAGCCACGACCACGUGGUAAGGCUAAAUACUACUGUGUGACCGAUAGAGAAAAGUACCGCGAGGGAAAGGUGAAAAGAACCCCGGGAGGGGAGUGAAAGAGAACAUGAAACCAUCGGCUUACAAGCAAUGGGAGUCCGAUUAGAACGGAUGACCGUGUGCCUGUUGAAGAAUGAG